UACGAAGGGAGCUAGCGUUGUUCGGAAUUACUGGGCGUAAAGCGCACGUAGGCGGCUUUGCAAGUUAGAGGUGAAAGCCCGGGGCUCAACUCCGGAAUUGCCUUUAAAACUGCAUCGCUAGAAUUGUGGAGAGGUAAGUGGAAUUCCGAGUGUAGAGGUGAAAUUCGUAGAUAUUCGGAAGAACACCAGUGGCGAAGGCGACUUACUGGACACAUAUUGACGCUGAGGUGCGAAAGCGUGGGGAGCAAACAGG
rnacentral:rRNA from 1 species